UUAUCCUACGGGGCGCAGCAGUAGGGAAUCUUCGGCAAUGGGGGCAACCCUGACCGAGCAACGCCGCGUGAGUGAAGAAGGUUUUCGGAUCGUAAAGCUCUGUUGUAAGAGAAGAACGUGUGUGAGAGUGGAAAGUUCACACAGUGACGGUAACUUACCAGAAAGGGACGGCUAACUACGUGCCAGCAGCCGCGGUAAUACGUAGGUCCCGAGCGUUAUCCGGAUUUAUUGGGCGUAAAGCGAGCGCAGGCGGUUGGAUAAGUCUGAAGAUAAAGGCGGUGGAGU
rnacentral:rRNA from 1 species